UCACCGGUGACGGUGGAGUCUGAAGGAAGCUGAAGGGGGAAUUUGGAACAUAGUGAGAACAAACCGAGGAUGGCCUUUUAGGUGGGUAACCUUGCAAAUUAUGGGAAAGCCCGAAAGCUGGAUAACCUAAAAGGUUAGGACGGAUGCGUUCAAAUUCAGGCAAGCAGA
rfam:Natranaerobius thermophilus JW/NM-WN-LF, complete genome.